rnacentral:miRNA from 1 species
UGAGGCAGGAGAAUUGCUUGAACCCAGGAGGUGGAGGUUGCAGCAAGCCAAGAUUGCGCCACUGCACUCCAGCCUGGGCGACAAAGCAAGAUUCUGUCUU